rnacentral:sRNA from 1 species
GUACUUAGUGCUAGGAGCAGGGAGUGGUUGAAAAUAGCAAUCCCCGUUUUCAUUCUUGCCAGAAGCAAGGAGCUGUUCACGAAUGGUGGCAGAAGUACGGGGCACGACUAUGUGAUGGUCUUUUUUUUUUUUUUUUCAAAGACAUCCAAGAAAUGAAUAUGGACUCUCCAGAUGAGGCAUAAAUGAUAAAUGACACCUUGAACGGGUAAUAUAAGCCAAGUAAAUAAUUAUGAUGACAUACAUCCUAUACAAUGGAAAUAAACUCAUCCCAAAAAAAAAAAAAAAAAAAAAAAAAAAAAAAAUCCUGCAGUCCUUUUAUAAUUUCAACUUCAAAUUCCAUUUGUCCAUGGCCAGGGCUAUUCCCGUUAAAACAGCAGCAUAACCAACCAGUACAACCAUUGCAGUGUUUCUGUCCGCAUCCAAUGUAUUCAUCCCCAUAUUGACCGUACCAGUAAGG